rnacentral:rRNA from 1 species
GAAUGCUGACAUAAGUAACGAUAAAGCGGGUGAAAAGCCCGCUCGCCGGAAGACCAAGGGUUCCUGUCCAACGUUAAUCGGGGCAGGGUGAGUCGACCCCUAAGGCGAGGCCGAAAGGCGUAGUCGAUGGGAAACGGGUUAAUAUUCCCGUACUUGGUGUUACUGCGAAGGGGGGACGGAGAAGGCUAUGUUGGCCGGGCGACGGUUGUCCCGGUUUAAGCGUGUAGGUGUGUGUUCCAGGUAAAUCCGGUUCACUUUAACACUGAGGCGUGACGACGAGGCACUACGGUGCUGAAGCAACAAAUGCCCUGCUUCCAGGAAAAGCCUCUAAGCAUCAGGUAACAUCAAAUCGUACCCCAAACCGACACAGGUGGUCAGGUAGAGAAUACCAAGGCGCUUGAGAGAACUCGGGUGAAGGAACUAGGCAAAAUGGUGCCGUAACUUCGGGAGAAGGCACGCUGACACGUAGGUGAAGUGAUUUACUCAUGGAGCUGAAGUCAGUCGAAGAUACCAGCUGGCUGCAACUGUUUAUUAAAAACACAGCACUGUGCAAACACGAAAGUGGACGUAUACGGUGUGACGCCUGCCCGGUGCCGGAAGGUUAAUUGAUGGGGUCAGCGCAAGCGAAGCUCCUGAUCGAAGCCCCGGUAAACGGCGGCCGUAACUAUAACGGUCCUAAGGUAGCGAAAUUCCUUGUCGGGUAAGUUCCGACCUGCACGAAUGGCGUAAUGAUGGCCAGGCUGUCUCCACCCGAGACUCAGUGAAAUUGAACUCGCUGUGAAGAUGCAGUGUACCCGCGGCAAGACGGAAAGACCCCGUGAACCUUUACUAUAGCUUGACACUGAACAUUGAGCCUUGAUGUGUAGGAUAGGUGGGAGGCUUUGAAGUGUGGACGCCAGUCUGCAUGGAGCCGACCUUGAAAUACCACCCUUUAAUGUUUGAUGUUCUAACGUGGACCCGUUACCCGGGUUGCGGACAGUGUCUGGUGGGUAGUUUGACUGGGGCGGUCUCCUCCUAAAGAGUAACGGAGGAGCACGAAGGUUGGCUAAUCCUGGUCGGACAUCAGGAGGUUA